rnacentral:rRNA from 1 species
UACGAGGGGGGCAAGCGUUGUUCGGAAUUACUGGGCGUAAAGCGCACGUAGGCAGAUUGGUCAGUUAGGGGUGAAAUCCUGGAGCUCAACUCCAGAACUGCCUUUAAUACUGCCAAUCUCGAGUCCGGAAGAGGUAAGUGGAACUCCUAGUGUAGAGGUGGAAUUCGUAGAUAUUAGGAAGAACACCAGUGGCGAAGGCGGCUUACUGGUCCGGUACUGACGCUGAGGUGCGAAAGCGUGGGGAGCAAACAGG